UUCUUAUUUUUUUCUCCAAACAGGAUGUCCGUUAGGAAAGCACGGUUAUGGUAACUGUGAAAGUAGAUGUUCUGGAGAAUGCUAUGGUGGUAACUGUCACUCCACCUCCGGAGCUUGUUUCUAUUGCACCCCUGGGAAAUACGGAAACAGAUGCCAAAACAACUGCUCUGUUAAUUGUAAAGAUAGUUUGUGUAGUAUAGACUCUGGAUAUUGUUUAGAUUGUGUCCCGGGGAAGUUUGGCGAUACAUGUGAACUAGACUGCUCUGUCAGCUGCUUAGGUAGACAGUGUUCCAAGGACACCGGGAAAUGUAUUCGUAAGGACAUUUACUAAAAUAUGCAUCAGCCUUAUAAUUACAGUAUUGUCCAACAGUAGUAAUUUAUUCUAAACAAUACCCAAACUGUUAUCCGUUUUGUAUCCAUAACAUAUGUCCAACAUUUACUUCAAUCCAACAUGGAAAUUAAGAUGUUUUUUUUUGUGUGCUAAAUUACGUAGUGACAACGUUUGACAUUUGAAAGAUUAUGAGAUGUUUUUCUGUAUGCUAAACUUGUGUGUCUAACUCGGUUGAAAUUACCAUUUAUUAGCGGACUACAUUUUACAUGGAUUGGUAGAAUCGGCUUUCGGAUUAAUGUCCGUCAUGUUCAGGAUAUAACCAAAUAUACAUUGAAAUGUCAGUAUUAGACAUUCCUUCGUUGAUAUAAAGGCCAUUUUAUAACACAUGAAACCGAAAAAAGAAAAAAGCAAAAAUAGUAAUGUGUACUAGGUUGAUAUCAAUCUGAAAUACAAAAAGUACCGUAAACUUAAGCUUGCUGUAUUUCACCAGUAUUCCAAUAAGCGUUAUAUGGUGUCUUUUUAGAGAGUUGAUAUAUGCUCUGAGGUAAUAUCUAUAGAGUAUAAAGUAAAAUAUUGAAUAUCUAUGUUUUAUUUUUAUAAUGUAUUGCAGGAAAAUAUGGAUUUGCUUGCGGUGAAAACUGCAAAUAGCCGAGACCAAAUUGCGAGAAUAUUAAUCGGCAUAUUCUUUGGAUGACGCUGUUGAUGUCAAGUUUGCAAUAAAUAUCUAAAUCGUGUUAAAUACAGAAAUGAACCACCGUAUAUAUGUUUAUUAAGAGUUGAACUGGUCGUUGACCAAAUGUUGGUAAGACGUAUUAAUGACGAUAUUAUUAAAUACACCAAUAGUUCAUUGAAAUGUCAUUGGAUGUAUUAAAUCUUAUCUAAAAGCAAACAAUGCUACCCGGAAAAGGAAAAACAUGUCGUGUAAUGAAUUAUUUAACAUGUAUGUUUUUUUCAUAACAGGUCAAGAAAGGUAUUCCGGCUUGGUGUACCUGCUUCUCCACAUCAAAUAUAAUACACUGCAUACAUUAGUGAAAUGCAAGACACAUAGUCAAACAAAACGGUCCAAUCUACAAACAAAACAUGACACACGAAUAUCUUUAGACGAAUAAUAUUAAGUAUCAGUGCAUUGUAUCAGGUGGGAGCAAUGAUCACACAUCCAAACAUAACAGAUCAAGAACACCACUCAGAACAGAUAUACAAGCCAUAAUGACCAUGAGGUUGUUUUGUUAAUUGUUUCGUUGCAUCACGUGAAUCACCUGUCAUUUAUCCGUGUACACCUGUAUUUGUCCUGUCUUGUGUACCUGUUUGUCAUGUGGUAGUUGAUAUGUCGUUGUACAUUACAUGUCUGGCGUGUAUUGAUGAGAUGUUAUGUGUACUAGAGUGAAUGAUUUUUAUAAUAACCCUGAUCAGUAGUAUGUAACGUAUUCAUAUAUGUAACUCGGAUAUCCUGCUUUAAAAUUGGCUUUGUUAUAUCAUGCAGUCGUCUGAUGGGCUCUAUAUGGCAAGCAAGGUAUGUAUAUUAUGAAAUUCAAUUAUCUUUUAUUCUUAGACUUAUUCCGUAAUAUUGUUUAUAUUUAAUAACCAAUACAUUUUAUGUAAAAUUUGGGAUAUGUUAUGGCGAUGAACUGGUAUGCUGUGUAUUUGUCAAAGUUGUCAUAUUAACUUGUAUAUAAUUUGUAUAUAUUAAUGAAUACUAUGCAUGUGGUAUACAAAUAUUUCCAAGCAUAUCCAUAAUCACAAAAACUACAAGAUAAUGUUGUUUUAAUUUGACCAGUGUUCUACCGUUGUGGUAUUAACAGCUAUUUUCUAAGAAGACUGCAUUGAGCGUGGAAUCUUUCACAAG